AGAGUUUGAUCCUGGCUCAGGACGAACGCUGGCGGCGCGCUUAACACAUGCAAGUCGAGCGAGAACCCAGGCUUCGGCCUGGGGGAAAGCGGCGAACGGGUGAGUAACACGUGAGUAAUCUGCCCUCGACAUCGGGAUAGCCCGGGGAAACCCGGAUUAAUACCGAAUGGCCCAACAGCUUUUCGGAGCGGUUGGAAAAGGUAGCUUCGGCCUCCGGUCGAGGAGGAGCUCGCGGCGGAUUAGCUCGUUGGUGGGGUAACGGCCCACCAAGGCUUCGAUCCGUAGCUGGUCUGAGAGGACGAUCAGCCACACUGGGACUGAGACACGGCCCAGACUCCUACGGGAGGCAGCAGUGGGGAAUCUUGCGCAAUGGGCAAAAGCCUGACGCAGCGACGCCGCGUGAGGGAAGAAGGCCUUCGGGUUGUAAACCUCUUUCAGGAGGGACGAAGCCACUCGGGUUAAUAGCCCAGAGGGUGACGGUACCUCCAGAAGAAGCCCCGGCUAACUACGUGCCAGCAGCCGCGGUAAUACGUAGGGGGCUAGCGUUGUCCGGAUCUAUUGGGCGUAAAGAGCGUGUAGGCGGCCAGGUAGGUCUGCUGUGAAAACUCGAGGCUCAACCUCGAGACGUCGGCGGAAACCAUCUGGCUAGAGUCCGGAAGAGGAGAGUGGAAUUCCUGGUGUAGCGGUGAAAUGCGCAGAUAUCAGGAAGAACACCCGUGGCGAAGGCGGCUCUCUGGGACGGUACCGACGCUGAGACGCGAAAGCGUGGGGAGCGAACAGGAUUAGAUACCCUAGUAGUCC
rnacentral:rRNA from 1 species